AUUGAACGCUGGCGGCAGGCCUAACACAUGCAAGUCGAACGGUAACAGGAAGCAGCUUGCUGCUUCGCUGACGAGUGGCGGACGGGUGAGUAAUGUCUGGGAAACUGCCUGAUGGAGGGGGAUAACUACUGGAAACGGUGGCUAAUACCGCAUAACGUCGCAAGACCAAAGAGGGGGACCUUCGGGCCUCUUGCCAUCAGAUGUGCCCAGAUGGGAUUAGCUUGUUGGUGAGGUAACGGUCUCACCAAGGCGACGAUCCCUAGCUGGUCUGAGAGGAUGACCAGCCACACUGGAACUGAGACACGGUCCAGACUCCUACGGGAGGCAGCAGUGGGGAAUAUUGCACAAUGGGCGCAAGCCUGAUGCAGCCAUGCCGCGUGUAUGAAGAAGGCCUUCGGGUUGUAAAGUACUUUCAGCGGGGAGGAAGGUGUUGUGGUUAAUAACCGCAGCAAUUGACGUUACCCGCAGAAGAAGCACCGGCUAACUCCGUGCCAGCAGCCGCGGUAAUACGGAGGGUGCAAGCGUUAAUCGGAAUUACUGGGCGUAAAGCGCACGCAGGCUGUCUGUCAAGUCGGAUGUGAAAUCCCCGGGCUCAACCUGGGAACUGCAUUCGAAACUGGCAGGCUUGAGUCUUGUAGAGGGGGUAGAAUUCCAGGUGUAGCGGUGAAAUGCGUAGAGAUCUGGAGGAAUACCGGUGGCGAAGGCGGCCCCCUGGACAAAGACUGACGCUCAGGUGCGAAAGCGUGGGGAGCAAACAGGAUUAGAUACCCUGGUAGUCCACGCCGUAAACGAUGUCGACUUGGAGGUUGUGCCCUUGAGGCGUGGCUUCCGGAGCUAACGCGUUAAGUAGACCGCCUGGGGAGUACGGCCGCAAGGUUAAAACUCAAAUGAAUUGACGGGGGCCCGCACAAGCGGUGGAGCAUGUGGUUUAAUUCGAUGCAACGCGAAGAACCUUACCUGGUCUUGACAUCCACAGAAGAAUCCAGAGAUGGAUUUGUGCCUUCGGGAACUGUGAGACAGGUGCUGCAUGGCUGUCGUCAGCUCGUGUUGUGAAAUGUUGGGUUAAGUCCCGCAACGAGCGCAACCCUUAUCCUUUGUUGCCAGCGAUUAGGUCGGGAACUCAAAGGAGACUGCCAGUGAUAAACUGGAGGAAGGUGGGGAUGACGUCAAGUCAUCAUGGCUCUUACGACCAGGGCUACACACGUGCUACAAUGGCGCAUACAAAGAGAAGCGACCUCGCGAGAGCAAGCGGACCUCAUAAAGUGCGUCGUAGUCCGGAUUGGAGUCUGCAACUCGACUCCAUGAAGUCGGAAUCGCUAGUAAUCGUGGAUCAGAAUGCCACGGUGAAUACGUUCCCGGGCCUUGUACACACCGCCCGUCACACCAUGGGAGUGGGUUGCAUAAGAAGUAGGUAGCUUAACCUUCGGGAGGGCGCUUACCACUUUGUGAUUCAUGACUGGGGUGAAGUCGUAACAAGGUAACCC
rnacentral:rRNA from 1 species